UACGGAGGAUGCGAGCGUUAUCCGGAUUUAUUGGGUUUAAAGGGUGCGCAGGCGGAAUGUCAAGUCAGCGGUAAAAUUUCGGGGCUCAACCCCGUCGUGCCGUUGAAACUGGCAGUCUUGAGUACAGUAGAGGUGGGCGGAAUUCGUGGUGUAGCGGUGAAAUGCUUAGAUAUCACGAAGAACUCCGAUUGCGAAGGCAGCUCACUAGACUGCAACUGACACUGAUGCUCGAAAGUGUGGGUAUCAAACAGG
rnacentral:rRNA from 1 species